UAUGUGGUAUAUACACUAAAUACUACAUUAUAUGGAUAUAGUAUUCUUUGAUUUGAUUUAAUUUAAUUUAAUUUAAUUUAAAUGAGGCACCACAAAUGUCUUAUAUUGUUUAAAAAAAUACUGCUAUUAAGGAUUACUAUAUGAUACUUCAUAGUUAUAUUACCCUCCUAUUUUUUUUCCCUGUUUUCCUUUAAAAGGGAAAGAAAAAGAAAAGAAUUCUCAUUCAUGAACUAGAAUUGAUUUAGAAAUCUGAGUAUGGGUUUUAUUUGACAACAGAGGAUUUCUCCCUGAGAUGGGAAUGGAAUAUGUGCCUUUUACAAGAGUGGAGAGCCACUGCUGCCCAGGAGGGAAAAAAAAGCAACUCGAGAAGUCAUAACUCAUGUCCAAAGGCCUCUUGUGGCCAGAUGAAGUGGGAUCCAAGCUGCAAAGCCCCUCCACGGAUGCCCCCACUGUCCAAUCAGCAUCUGAAUGAGUAUACUCACACGCGUAAAGCUGAUUGUAAAAUAGAGGCUCUUGGUGUUGUUUUGUUUUAUGACAAAGGAAACCAAAAACGUCCCGUAUCAGUGUGUUUCCUGUGGGUACAAUUGCCCCCAAACAAUCCUGUGGUGGCUGGGAAAUGGCUGUUUACAAGAAGCUGAAAGAGCCAAAACUCUGAGGAAGUGUAAUUUGCAAUUAUUUGUCUGCUUUAUUUUGUGUAAAGAGUCUGGAAACACGAUUUUCAGCAUGGCUUGCAAAGCAUGUAUGGGCAAGUUUUAAGAGCAUAUUUGUACACCACCCCAGGUAAGUCAUCAAUCAGGUAAUUUGUGCAGUUCUCUACUCUGUACUGAGUAACCCAGUGUUAAUCAUCCUAAAGCAUUAGAGUCUUUAUUAAGAAUUAAUGUGUUUAUGUUAGUGUCUGUGCAAAUUUCAAAGUAGCCUCUAGGGUUCCCGUCCUCCAGAAAUUUAGAACCUUAUGUGGAUGAAAGAAUGUGGAUAUAAAUGAAUUUAUUUAAGUGACACAGAAUUGAUAGGAUAAGUAUUUUUUCCUUCCAUUGGUUGUAAAUAGGCAUGUCUUUAUGGAUCCACGACUAAUAAUGAAUUUGCACACACCAUGCAGCAGAGACGCUAUGAAUCUUCUAUAAAGAUACAGACAUUUGAAAUGCCAAGCUUUGGAAACAACAGGAUUACAACCUUUGAAGAAAGAGAAUGGGUCUGGACUUAAGUCAUCCAUUGUGGCAUCAGAUAUCGGAUCACUAGGACAUAAACCUGUGGCUUACCUGUGAGAAGUCCAGAGUCAAUCAAUGUUCACACAUAGAGAAUUCCUUCUGCAUUACUUGAGUUAGACGAAGAUACUACACUCAGUGCUAGCUGCUUUUUGAAACCCUAAAACAUAUUCCUUUUGGCAGCAAAGUCCGGGGAAGAUGUUUUCGUGUGAUCUGUUACUAGAAUGUAAGGUUCUAGAGAGCAGAAAUGCAUUUAUACCCUGGUGCAGUCCUAACACCAAGAACAGUGCAUGAUACAUAGUAUAUGCUCAGUAAAUAUUCUAUGCAAUGCCUUCAAUUUAAAAUUUUCUGUUUUUAUUUUAACACUUAGUUCCUGCUUAUAAAUCAGUUCAUUAGAGAAAUUUGGAAAAAUUUUGAAACCUAAAGCAGGAUAUAAACAUUAUUGAUGAUACCACUAACUAGAGGUAAUCAUUAUAAACUUUUUUGGUGGUUAAUGUGUGAAUGUUUUUAUAAAAAUGGUUUGGUGCGUGUGUUUGUGCAUGUGUGUGCAAGCGUGUGCAUAUGUGUGUACACACGAGAAUCACUGAAUUUGUAUGCAUAAAGUUUUUGGCAACAUAUCAUGAGUAUUUCUCAUAUGUUUAAAUUCUUUGGAAUCAUCAUUGUUAGUGGUUAUAUAAUUUUCAAGCCUGUAGCCUUAUCAUAAUUUGUUGGGCACAUGCUCUAUUUGGGACAAUUCAGGUUGCCUUAUUUAGUCACUUUUGGUAAAAAUAAAUAAUACAAUUAUAGAUGUCCUUAUAUGUUA
rnacentral:lncRNA from 12 species